rnacentral:rRNA from 1 species
GAGCAUGGCUCAGGAUGAACGCUAGCUACAGGCUUAACACAUGCAAGUCGAGGGGCAGCAUGGUCUUAGCUUGCUAAGGCCGAUGGCGACCGGCGCACGGGUGAGUAACGCGUAUCCAACCUGCCUUACACUCUUGGACAGCCUUCUGAAAGGGAGAUUAAUACAAGAUGUUAUCAUGAGUAAGCAUUUUCACAUGAUUAAAGGUUUACCGGUGUAAGAUGGGGAUGCG